rnacentral:lncRNA from 1 species
AAGAGAAAAGAUCCGGGCAGCUUCACUAUUCCGUGCACCAUUGGAAGCUCUUCCUUUGAAAAGGCCCUUUGUGAUCUUGGAGCAAGCAUCAAUUUAAUGCCGUUAUCAGUAUUCAAAAAGUUAGGCCUCGGGGAAGUCAAGCCAACAACAGUGACUCUACAACUAGCUGAUAGGUCCCUCACCUACCCACGAGGAAUUAUUGAAGAAGUGUUGGUAAAGGUCGACAAAUUCAUCUUCCCAACUGAUUUUGUGGUAUUGGAUAUGGAAGAAGAUCAGGAAAUUCCACUGAUUUUAGGCAGACCAUUUUUAGCAACUGGAAGGGCAUUAAUUGAUGUACAAGGGGGACAAUUGACAUUGAGAGUGAAUGAAGAAGAGGUGAGGUUCAACAUUUACCAAGCAAUGAAGUACUCAGAUGACAAUGACACUUGCCACAAGAUUAACUUCAUUGAUUCUGCUGUGAGAGAUGAGAAAUUAUGUAUUGAAGAUCCUUUAGAGCAAUGUAUGAUGUUUAGUACAACAAAGGAUGAUAUUAGCACUUUUGGAGAGUACAUCGGGAGCAAGGAUUUGGUUGAUUACAUAUUGG